GGACAGUGUGUGUGACCUUUCAAGCACAGACUCCACAGACACAGAAGCUUGCCCAUUGAUUGAAGAGGGUAUGGUCCCAGACAGUGACUGAAAGUCUUCUGAGUCACUUGGGGCCAGACUGUGGGCCAGGCUGGGGGUUGGGGAGAAUCCAGCUGGGGAUCCCUUAGGUCCAGCCAUCCUUUCAUCUUUCUUCAUGAAAAGGACUCGAGAAUAGUAAUGUUAUUUCAUACUGCAGUUACGGGAUGCCUUCACUGCAACAAAGAUGAACAAGGAAAAACUACAAAGAAAUCGAGACUCAUCAGACCAGGCAACA